rnacentral:rRNA from 1 species
GACGAACCGUGCGAACGUUAUUCGGAAUCACUGGCUUAAAGGGCGCGUAGGCGGGCCGUCCGGUCCGGGGUGAAAGCCUCCAGCUCAACUGAGGAAGUGCAUUCGAUACUGCGUCGCUUGAAUGUCGGAGGGGAUGGCGGGAAUUCCCGGUGUAGAGGUGAAAUUCGUAGAUAUCGGGAGGAACACCUGUGGCGAAGGCGGCCAUCUGGACGACGAUUGACGCUGAGACGCGAAAGCGAUGGGUACGCAAACGAGGAAUUAUGAA